AUGGCCUGGACCCCUCUCCUCCUUGGCCUCCUUGCUCAUUGCACGGGUUCUGUGGCCUCCUAUGAGCUGACUCAGCCCCCAUCUGUGUGUGUGACCCUGGGACAAACAGCCCGGAUCACCUGUGGGGGAAACAACAUUGGAAGUAAAAAUGUUUCCUGGUACCAACAGAAGCCGGGCCAGGCACCCGUGAUGAUUAUCUAUGGUGAUAGCAGCCGGCCCUCAGGGAUCCCUGACCGAUUCUCAGGCUCCAACUCAGGGAACACGGCCACCCUGACCAUCAGCGGGGCCCGGGCCAAGGACGAGGCUGACUAUUACUGUCACGUGUGGGACAGCAAUGCUGAUGCUCACGGUGACACAGGCAGAUGGGGAAUGCUCACCUUCUACACCAAGGAGACCUGA